AUGAAUGGGAGGUCCAAGGGGCUCCGGGCGGCCGUGACCCUGCUGGAGUUCGGGGGGGACCUCCAGCCCCCCGGGGGUUCCCUGCGCCUCCUCUGCCGAGGGUCCGGCUUCAGUUUUGGGAAUUAUGAAAUGGAUUGGGUUCGCCAGAGACCUGGACAGGGGCUGGAGUGGGUCGGGAGCAUCAACACUCGUGGCAGCACCUACCACGCGCCCUCAGUCAAGGGCCGGGUCACGAUCUCCAGGGACAACGGGCAGAGCUCGGUGAUGCUGACCAUGAACAACCUCAAGGACGAGGAUUCCGCCGUCUAUUUCUGUGCCAAAGCUCCUGGUGGUGGUGGUGCUGCUCCUGCUGGUUAA